rnacentral:lncRNA from 1 species
UUUUUUUUUUUUGAGGUCAUUAUCUUGUUUUAGAUGGGUGAGUUUGAUGAAAGCUUCGCAGCCCAACAAAACUAGUAUAGCUUACGGCCAUUUCCACCAACUGGACGCACUGGGCCUGAUUCGGCCUAUCUUGGCCUUUCCGCUCCGUGACCAACCCAACAAAAUCGCCAAUCAACGAAAACCCUAGAAGGCCCAUCUCCAGUUCUCCACCUUGGCACCUUGCCGCCUCCCCACCCAAGCCUCUCCACGCUGGCGCCGGCGCCGCCGCCCGGCGGUGGAACACGCCGGUAAUCUCCAUAUCGCGGUUAUUUACUCCCAGUUGUACAAUCUUACUCUUUGUGCAGCUCCUUCUAUGCUAGAGAUGUUGAUGGGCGUGUUAUCUGAAUUUUGGGGCUGUGGUUUAGCUGUUGGGUUGUGCAAUCCGAUUUUUCAAAAUAUGGUGCUUGGAAAGUCGGCACUUCUCGAAUUAAUCGACAUGUUGUAGUGUUUAUUAAUACUAGCUGGUACUCUAGAGUCCAGAUUUGGUUUUAAAAGACCAAUAUGGUGUAGGAAUUCAGCACCAGCUAUGUGCAAUUGUGCAUUAUGGCUCGUCUAUCUUUUUCCCACUUGUAAUUCAAGACUAUAUGUUUUAUUAACUUUAGCAUGGAACCUACAACAUCUCACAUCUGUAGAUUACAAUUUAUAUCUGACCUCAGUAUCUGUUUGCAAAGAUUCCUCCAAACUCCAACCCAAUCUCCAUUCCUUGAUGGGAAAUGAGCAAGAUUGCGUGAGUUCAUCCUUUUGUUGGACAGAAGAAACACUGCAGUGGUAUUUCUAAUUCUACCUCAUAUGGCUAUUCAGCUAUAUAACGUGAAUCGAUUAGAGAAAGGAGCUUCCAAUUAGUAUGGAGCACUUAUUCAAUUUGUGAGGUCGUUAAACUUAUCCUAUGUUAUCAUAAAACUUAUCUUUCAGUCUUUAGCAUAUAAAGAGCAAGAUGCUUAAUCAUUGCUGGCAAGGAUUCAUCUUCAUGUUGAGCUUUUAUGCUAUAUUAUCCUGUUACUGGAUUCUUAGCUCCAUGAUUCUGUGCAUCUGCAUUUUAAGUCCCUUUCUAACUUGCUGACCUGAAACUGAUUCGAAUUCCAGAAUAGUAAAUCCACUAGCUAUGGGAUGUGUAGGCUUGUUGUUUGCCUUUCUUAUCAAGAAAACUCUAGUACUCUAAUAAGCUAGCUAACCCGUUGAUAUCAUUAAAUAGUUCGCUUUCCGGUGCAUGUCACUAUUUUCUUUUAUCAUUGACUUUUCCCGUGCUCCUUUUAUCACUCAAGACCAUAUAAUUGACCAUUAGCAAGCUGCUUCCUUUCUUUAUUUUGGUCAAAGGCUGAUUCAAAAGAAAAGGAAGCCUAGGUGAAGUUUGUUUGGAAACAAAUCUUAAGGAGACUCAUACGCAACAACGUUAAGGAAGCAAUCGUGGUUCAGUUCCAAGAAAAUGAGCAUCCGUUUAAAUCGGGUAGGGCUCCCCUUUUAUAGUAUCUCGGAGGACACUUUACAUUCCAUGAUUACCCUUUCUCAACUACUACAUUCCUAGAAUAUUCUGUAUACAAAGGUCUUUCGGAGGUAACUUGUGCGACUUGGUCUCCUUUACCGAGUCACGCUUCUCACGCCCUCAAACAAUCCUGCAAAUCACGCUCUCAGGCAAUCCCGCAAUUCACGCCUUCAGGUAAUCCCGCAAUUCACGCCUUCACAUUUCCAAUGCCUUCACGCCCUUGACCUCGAACUCGAAAUCACCUUGGCCUCAUGCUCGGAGACAUCUUAGCCUCGUGCUGGAAAGAUGCCAGCCCCGUACCUCAGAUCUUGGCUUGCUUGUUCCAUCGACCCUGAGUAAAACACAGAAAAACUCGUCGCCCGAGGUUAGGUUAAGGCGCUUGAGGGUGAGCUUCGUUAAAGUCUAGUCAUCAAAGAUUGUUUCUUGGCUUCUAAAACAAAUUUAUAGUAGUGUCACGAGGCUAGCACGACUUUUACGCUGGAUUUGCCCCUCGAGGUUAGGGACCUUCGCCCGAGGUUGAUAAUUUUGCAAUGCUAGAUGGUUCACGCUGAGCGAAACGACCUCGAGGGUGACCAUCUUUUUGGGCGAUCCCCAACAAUAGCCCCUUGUGGGCGAGGGUCGACACCGACGGCCGAACCCGCGACUGAGGAUCUACUCCCAAAAAAAUGUCACCCUCGAGCGUCGGUGAGAAACGAGCCAACGGUUACCUUCUUGUGUCGUAUGUGUCGAUUUCUUAAUGGAUGACUCUUCGUAUUCGGCUUGAGGUUUAAGGUGCCGUUUCGCGCCUGUUAUCGCGCCCAUAAAAGGAGGGGCAUGGGUCACUUUCGAUUUUUACCCUCGCGUCUUAGACCUUUGCUCACCACUUGCUUUGCGCACUGCUUUGGUGCUUUGAGAUUCGUGCGUUGCAUGCUAUCAUCCUUGAUCUUCAAAGUCUCGAAGGUAACUAUGUUAUUCAUAUUUCGCUUUAGUUUGAGUUUUGCUUUAUUGUUUUUAUUUUGACCUAAUAUUUGGUCAUUGUACAGUUGGCUCGUAUUAUGUAGAAUGCAAGGCCUAUGACUGCCGAGGAACUUGCUGAAUAGUAGAGGCUUCGUACCAAGGUUGGGGAAGACCUGGAGUUGGUCGAUGCUAUCGAGGACGCUGCUGAUGAGGGUACCGCAGACGAAGGUGGUCUCGAGGCUGCUGCUGACAGUGGGGAGGACCUUUCCAAUGUCGAGGCUGACCCAUCGAAGUUGAUGGCUGGCAAAGAAGUAUACCCUCCCACCCUGUGGUUCGGGAGAUCUUUGGUUUCCAAGAAUACUAUAGAGUUUUAUGUCAGCAAGGGGUACUUUCCCGAGGGUGUCGCUAGGCCUCCGGGUGACGAGAUCGUGCCAGUGCCUAAGGUAAGUGAGGCUGUUGUGUUUAGGGAUUUCUUCACUGCCGGAUUGAGAUUUCCGUGCGACAAGUAUCUGCAUAGGAUUUUGGACCGAUACAGGGCUAAGCUUCACCAGCUUAGCCCAAAUUCCUUCGUCGCUCUCUCCAAGUUUUAUUGGGCUCACCGCACGUUUGGUGGGUCGAUUGAUGUGGAUGGUUUCGCGAGGUUGUUCGAACUUCAUAUCCAAUGGAAAAGGGUUCAAUUUGAUGGUGAAGAAGGCACCUUCGAGAUGCAGUUCGGCUGUUGUACAUUCACGACCUGGAGGAAGAAUAAGAAAUAGAAAAUUAUGAGCAUGGAACUUUCCUCGGCGUAGAAGAACAGAUGGGAUAACAAGUGGCUAAGUUACUGGUUUUACAUUAAGAUCAGCAUGGCCGACGCAUCUGGCAUCAACCGGUCAUUUUACCCUUUUCAUGCCCCGUUGGGUCCUAUGGACAUCUCUACUACUCCCCCUUUUUUAGGACCGGAGUUGUUAAGAAAUGCGAGGAUGCCUUUUUCUUAGCCUCGAAGGCAAUGGUUGGGCGAGACCUUGUCAAGGAGUUUGUGGCGGCAAAUAUCUCACCUCUUUCUGAAGGUUGGGAACCAAAGGAGAUUGUUCUGAAGGAUGUCCUGUGGCGCACCAGCCAGUUCCCUUACCCUCGGUUUGGGUUGGAGCUACUCGAGGGGAUCAACCCCGGACUCUUUGCAGAGGAGGUUGAGAGGCGAGCCAUAUACAUUAUUGGCCCCUGCCAUGAUAAUGAGUUGUCAUCUGCUCGGAGCAUCGUCGAGCAUCAGCUUUGAAUUAUCCACGUGUUUGAAGAGCUUGGAAUCAAGGUUGUGCCCUGGUCGAAGCCUCGCAAAAUUUCCAAGCGGAUGCGUGAGCCCGGCGUGACAAGCUUGAUAGAGAUUGGCCGGGGAGCUGGGGGAAGAAAGAGAAAAUCGAAAGCGCAGCCCUGAAGUCUGCGGCCGCUAUUGCGAAGAAAGAUGAUGCCCAAUCGAGCGUCAUAAGCAAAGCUGCUAAAGCAAAGCUAAGGACCUCCAGCCUCAAGGCUCUAAAGAACAAGGAAAAACUUGGUCAAAGUUCUUCAGGUGAAGCUACAAAAUUCUCUGCGCCUCCUGUCUCCAAGGUUGAGCCGGUUGUGACCAAGCCUGAGCUCGAGGCUGCCGGUACGCUCACUAGUAUGAAGGUCAAAAAGUCUGGAAGGAAGUCCCAUGUUGCCAGGACCAUGAACGAGGAUGAUGAUGCUCUUCUGGAUGUGGACUUGUCCUUGGUCCCUUCCUUGGUCCCUGAGGCUGGCGUCCUUCCAAGGGAAGCCCAAACCAAGGCUGCUAGGUCUCCUCCGCGCUCCGAGGCUAACCCUCGAGUGGAAGCAACUCUCGAGGCUACCAUUGAGAAGAAGGAUGAGUCUGCCUCGGAGCUAGCGAAGCCAGGUAAAAAUGUCAUUGUACAUUUGCCUAAGCUGAGCUUUAUUGAUUCCAGCGGUGCCUCCGCUAGAUUCUUGAGAGAGCUGCAGAAAACUAUUGGCGCGGCUGGAGAGGUAUACAAUGGACCUCCUCUGAUGUUCAGGGUGAAACUUUAUGCUGCAGAUUCUCAACUGCCUCCAUCUUUGGAGGGCUACAACAAGGCCUUCGGUACUGAUCUUAGAGAGGAGCUGAUGGCUAUUCACGUGCCGGGGUCAAGUGAGGAUGAUGACCCGUACAACUUACCCUUAUUGUGGGGUGCUAAGGAUGGAGUGCAUGAUGUAGAUGAGGCGGCGAAGGUAGUUUUUAAGAAGUUUGGGGGUGACAUGGGCGAGGUUGAGGGAAAGGAGCUGCAGAGGAGGGAGAGGUCAGCCCCGCUCGAGCCUCCGAAAAGUUCAAGGCACCCGUUGAGGGUUGUGAAGUUAAACUUCUACAAGCAACUUUGGGCUGCUUCUGGAUGCGAUCAUGCGAGGCUCAUUACCCAAAAGCAACUUGCGUAGGUCAGGGUUCGCUUGAUCUUGCUUUUAUCUCUCUUCUUUUUGGUUUGUUAUUUGAUGGUUUUUAAUUUUUUUCACAGACCAAGGAAGAGGAAUCCAGAGGUGAGGGCGGACGCGGGAGUAAUGGCUCUGACCGAGAGAGGGAUGCUUUUCACAAACCAACUUGCUUGAGGCUUAGCUGAGAAUUUGCAUUGUUGGCCAUAGUCUUGUGUAAUGAUACAUUUGAUACUUGAUGGGAUGCUUUUUGUAGAUUGUGAUGUAAAUAUUAGUUGCUGGCAAGUACUGAGUGCUUCAAGCUUGUUGUCUUUAAUGUUGUUACCCUCAAAGAUUCUUUUUAUCUGUGUGAUCUUAAUUGCUUGGUAACGAAAUUCGCAGCAUGGAGGAGUGUCGUGCUUUUCUUUUUGAAAAACAUCAACCCCCCUCCUAGCUCCUCCGUGCAUAGAAUUUGGUUGGGUUUUCGUGUUCAUUGCCUAAGCUAUACGAUGGAGAUUUGUUUAUUGGACUCGAGAUGAAGCUCCGAGAAUAAAGGAAUGAGAAGCGUUUUUUUUUUUGAAAAUGUCACCCCCCUGCCUUUUGUUUGAGGGUUUCGCUCGAGGCUGAUGAAAAUGGUUUUUGUCUAUCAAAAAACGUUACCCCCUCAUUUUUCAUCCCUUUUUCGUGAAAGAAAUUGAACUUAGAUAUAGCUUGUGGAUGUAGAAGAUGAAUCAAAGGAAAACAUGGUUUCAAGUUUUGUUGACUUAGAAGAGAUAGCGAAAGGUUGGUCGAUGUCGCAACCCUUGGUUGCUUCGACCGUAAGAUUUGCGAGGGUACGAGGUUCAACAGGUUUUUGCUAACUCGUUUCGCACUUCCUUUAACAUUUUUCGCGAUGCUGGCCCCCUCUGAGGCGGCUUUUGAGCUUUUAUGCCUGUGUGUAAACGCAAGCUUUCCCUUUUCGAAAAAAUGUCAUCCUCGCCCUUCUCACCUUUUGGCGUAAAAGAGGUUAGAUGAAUUUUGACAAUCUCUAAGUCGACAAAAAACUUGCUUUCAAGUUUUGUUGACUUAGAAAAAUAACAGAAGUUUGGUUGAUAUCGCAACCUUUGGUUGCUUCAACCAUGAAGUUUUGUGAGGUCGCAAUUUUGGGUCGGUUUUGCUAACUUCGUAGCUCAUCCUAUGAGGCUUGGUUAUGGUUCAGUGUUUAUUUUGGAAAAAUUAGAGUUAAACUACCAGCUUUUACUUUAGAGGGUUAUGUGAUGGAAAAUCAUAGUGGGCCCGGGGCUAAAACCUGAGAAAAAAGGGACGAGGGUAUUUCUUUGAAAAAACGUCACCCCCACCCUUUUGCGAGGGUUUAGGCCGAGGUUGAUGCUUCGCGUAAAAGGAUGAAAUGAUUUUUCUUGUUGAAAAAGUCAACCCCCCCUUUAUCCUUUUGCGUGAAAGGGACUUGGAGUAGACCUGGCUCGAGGACUUAUGGUGUGGGUCAGUAAAAACAUGUUUUGAGUUUUGUUGAUUUAGAGAUAUGGCGAGAAGCUGGUUGAUAUCGCAACCCUAGGUUGCUUCGACCACAAAGUUUAUAUGAGGUUUGGUAGGCCUUCUGCUGACUUGCCUCUCGAUUUUUAACCUGCGAGACCGAGCCUUUUGUUGUAGCCCUUGGAUGGAAAAAGAACUUUUUACGCGUAUAGCGUGCAGGUAAUACGAGACUAUGCAACUUGUCAUUGCUUUAAUGUACCUUGCACAGGAACGCAAGUUCUCAACGUGCAGAAACACGAGGUUAGGCAACUUGUUGCUUUCAAGCACUUGCACAGAAACACAAGUUUUCAUUGUGCAGAAAUGCAAGUUUUCAUCGUGCAGAAAUGUGAGGUUAUGCAACUUGUUGCUUUCAAGCGCUUGCACAGAAACGUAAGUUUUCAUCGCACAGAAAUGCGAGGUUAUGCAACUUGUUGUUGCUUUCAAGCACUUGCGCAGAAACGCAAGUUUUCAUCGCGCAGAAACACGAGGUAAUGCAACUUGUUGUUGCUUUGAGACGAGAAUCAUUGGGGGAAUUCAUUUCAUUGAAAUAAAAGAAAUUUUAUAAUGAUCUGCCUCGUCAAAAACAUUGCCUCCAGAAAGGAGCCCCCGUAGCAAGGAAAAAAGUGUAGUCCAAAUGCAAGAAAGUAAAAUGCGAUAGAGUAAAUUUGGUACCCUUGAUGUUAACUUUACAAGCCGAGGGUAGCUCCAAACAAGUUGUUUAGGGAUAGUACUUACGCAAACUGUCCACGUUCCAUGAGUGUGGUAGCUCCAUGCCAAGUUGGCCUUCGAGGUGGAAAGAUCCUGGCCUAUUACUUCAUGUGACAAUGUACGGCCCUUCCCAAGCUUCCUGCAAUUUCCCGAGGUUCUCCCAAUUUUUCUUUCUCUUGAUGACGAGGUCACCCACUUUGUUCUCUUUGCGAAUCACUUUUUUGUCCCACCACCUCCUUGUUUCUUGCUGGUACUUGUCAAGAUUUUCUACUGGUUGCAGUAUUUCAAGUUCUAUCAUGUCUUUUUCAACUUUUACAUCAUCUGGGCUAUCCUCGGCCCUCAGCACUCUCAAGCUUUUGUUUUUCAUUUCCUCAGGCAUCAUUGCCUCGGAGCCAAAUAGAAGCCGAAACGGUGCGUAGCCCGUUGCUCGGGAUGCUGUUGUGUUGUGGGACCAGAUUACCCUUGGGAGCUCAUUCACCCACUUUCCUUUCUUUUGAUCAAAGAGACAUUUUUUUAUGGCUGAAAAAAUUAAGCCAUUUACUCUUUUCACAUCCUUGUUUGACUGGGGAUGAUAUAUCGAGGCAAAUUUUACCUCGGUACCGAUGCUUGCACAGAACUCCUUGAAGCCAUAGCAAUCAAAUUGCUUGCCAUUGUCCACAGUCAGUUCCCUGGGGACUCCGAAUCUGCAAAUGAUAUUUUGCCAAAAGAAUUUCUAUAUUGAGCUCGAGGAUAUGUUUGCCAGUGGCUUAGCUUCGAUCCAUUUUGUGAAGUAGUCGACUGCUACUACAACGAACUUGCAGUUGCCUUGAGCUGUUGGCAGUGGGCCCACUAGGUCCAUACCCCAUCUUUGUAAUGGCCAGGUUGGUGAGAUGAGCUGUAUUGGGAGCGAUGGUGCAUUCUGCUGGUUUGCCAUCUUUUGGCAGUUGUGCGUCAUGAAUUGCAGUGGGCUAAUAGAAUCCUUGCCUCAGCGCUUUGCUUACCAGAGCUUUGGCUCUGAUGUGCGAGCUGCAAAAACCCUUGUGAAUUUUUGCGAGCAACUCUAUCCUACUUUUUGUGUCUAUGCACCAUAACAAGGGAGUUGAUGUCCCUAACUUGUAUAAUUCUCCAUCAACUAUUGUGUAGCCCCUGGCCUUUUGUUUAAGCCUAUUUAGCUCAACCUCAUCAUGAGGCUCAAAGUACCCUCUCAGGUAUGCCAUAAUUUUGGCUCUCCUAUCAAAGCUUUCAAUUGCGUUUAUAGUCCUCGAGGCAGGUUCCUUUGUCGAUGGUGUGCAGAUGACCUCGUAAAAAACAUCAGGAGGCAUGGGUUGAUAACUGUGCUAUUGCCUUUGCCAGCGCGUCUGCUUUGUCAUUUUUUGCCCUUGGGAUAUGUUGUACAGUGAAGCCUUUGAAAUAUUUUUCCAUUGCUCUCACUAUGGUGAGGUACUUGACUACCUCCGGCUCUCUAGCCUCGCUAUUCUUUUCUAUAUGUUUUUUUAUUACUUUUGAGUCUAUUUUUAUUAUGAACACUUGUUGGCCCAAGACCUUCAUUUUCCUUAGCCCCAUAAGCAGUGCUUCAUAUUCAGUGGUGUUGUUUGUGGACCUCGAGUCAUCUACCAAGUUGAGCCUGGCGGCGUAUCUCAUUUUGAUGCCCGAUGGUGAGAUGAUGAUGGCUGAGAUUCCAACCCACCUGUCACACCAGGCCCCGUCACAAUGUAUGAUCCAUGGGACCUCGAUUUCUUCUUGGCUGACACACGGGGACAUCCAAUCUACAAUGAAAUCUUCCAGGACUUGUGAUUUUAUUGCACUUCUUCUUUCAAAGUCCACGACAUAUUCUGACAGCUCUGAUGCCCAUUUAGUUAUCCUCCCUGAAGUUUCUCUAUUUGUAAAGAGAUCUUGCAGUGGUUGGCUUGUGACUGCUAUAAUUCUAUGGCCCUCGAAAUAAUGUCGUAACUUCCGUGCUACCAUAACUACUACAUACACGUUCUAUUCAAGCUCCGAGUAGAACAAUCUUGACCCUGAUAGCGCCUCCGAUGCAAAGUAGACUGGAAUCUGCUUCGGCUUUCCAUCAAUUUUUUUCUCUUGGAUUAGAGCAGCGCUGACAACCGAGUUCGAGGCUGACACAUAUAGUAGGAGCGGUGAUCUUGGCUCGGGUAGGCACAGCCUAGUCAUGUUCAUCAAGUAGUCCUUCAGCUGCUGGAAAGCCUCGCUCUGCUACUCUCCCCACUCAAACUUUUUAAAGCUUCGCAGAACUUGGAAGAAUGGUAAGCUUCACUCCGUGGCCCUUGGAAUGAACCUGUUAAGGGCUGUCAUUCUUCCUGUCAGCCUUUGCACAUCUUUCACCGAAACCAGCUCUCUCAUAUCAACUAGUGCCUGGAUUUUUUCUGGGUUGGCCUGGAUGCCCUUCGUUGAAACCAAGCACCCUAGGACUUUACCCCGUUGGACCCCGAACACACAUUUUUUCGGGUUGAGUUUCAGGUUUGCUGCUCUUAAAUUAGCAAAUGUCUCCACGAGGUCAAGUAUGUGAUCUUUCCUCUUAUCACUUUUUACAACUAUGUUGUCGAUGUAGGCUAAGAUAUUUCUGCGAAGCUGUUUGGACAAGAUUAUUGCUAUCAUUCUUGAGAAAGUUUGCCCUGCGUUUUUUAGCCCCUCGGGCAUCUGCACGAAGCAAAAAGUUCCAAAGGGUGUUAUGAAACCCAUUUUUCCUUCUUCUUUUUUUAUUCGAAUUUGGUGGUACCCCAAGAAUAAGUCCAACAUCGAUAACAUUUCGCUGUUUGCAGCAUCGUCCACCACCUUAUCCACUCUUUUCAAUGGAUACUAAUCUUUAGGGCAUGCCUUGUUCAGGACAGUGAAGUCUAUACAUAUUCUCCACCUACCAUUCUUCUUCUUGACUGGUAUGGUGUUCGCUAGUCAUUCUGUGUAGAUAAUCGGGCGUAUGACAUUAGCCUCGAGGAGUCUUUCAACCUUGGAUUUCACAACUUGUGCUUUUUCUUCCGACAUUUUCCUGAGCUUUUGCUUUUUUGGCUUCACACCUGGCUUUAUCUUGAGUCCGUGCUCAAUUAUAUCUCUGUCAACCCCUUGGAGGUCACUUGCGGACCAGGCGAAAACAUCUUUGUUUUUGUUGAGGAACUCGAUUAAUUCUUUCUCCUCCUCGGGCUCGAGGUUAGCCCCUAUUGUGACAUAUCUAUCCAUGACAUAAUCAUCUAGGAGAACUCUUUUUGUUUCACCAUCUGUGCUUAUCUUCACCUUCUCUUUGUCCCUCUUGGGCUCAGCAUAUGGCUUUUUCGCUUCUUGCUCUUCAACCUCGUUAGGAGUCGUUAGGUAGUGGACAUUCUUUUGCCCCGGAGUUACACCUUUUUCUAUAUUCCCGGCGGUUUGCUGAUCGCCAUAGACCGUGAUGACUCCUUUCAAGGUCAGGAUUUUCAUACACAAGAACAGUUGCCUAAUUGCUGCAUCAAAUCUGUUGAUGAACCCUCUUCCAAGAAUAGCGGAGUAUGUGUAGUACAUUUCGACAAUGUCGAAUGUUAUGCGUUCUGUUCUUGCGUUGUCCAGAUUUCCAAAUGAGACGGGGAGUGCAAUUUUUCCCAAGGCUUUGACCGGCCUCCCCCGAAGCCAAGCAAUGGGACUUCUGCCAGCUCGAGCAAGUGAGGGUCGAUUUUCAUCUCUCUAAAGGUGCUUGCGAAGAUAAUGUCCACAGAACUUCCGUUAUCCACUAGGACCUUUCCUAUUUUCCAGCUGGCAAUAAUGGCCUCGAUCACCAUCACAUCAUUAUGCGAGGCUAUUUUCAAUUUGAAAUCCUCUUCUAUAAAAGAGAUGGGCAUGUGUGCCCACUCUGGCUUGGUUGGAGGACCAUCAGGUAUAAUCGUAUUCACCUGCCUGAAGUAAUCUCUCUUUUGCCUGUUAUUUUCAAACUUGAGGGAAGACCCUCCGGCGAUUGGCGUUAUCAUGCCAUAGGUUGGUAGAGCAUUUGAGCUAUCCUUGCGAUGCUCUUGCUGUGAGGAUCCCCCUGAGAUUGGCAUUAUCAUGUCGUAUGUGGGUAAGGCUUUGGGAUUGUUGUUUUGUGGAUUGUUAGGCUCAGCUUUGGGAAUUUCGUUUGGUAGAUUUGGUGGUGGUAGCGGUAUCUCGUGGAGAGGUUGGGAAGGUGCGAAGUUCGCAGUCUGCGAGGGUAGUUGAGUUUGAGGGCGGAAUUGCGGUGAAUGUUGCCACAUCAUGGUGGGUUGAAAGGUUGCGAGGUUGGGGUUUGGGUAGUAUGGCGGUUGUGGCCAGAAGGUGGUAUGGUGGAUGAUCUUGGGUACCUAAGCCGCUUCCUUUUCUUCGGUCAUUCUUUCGAAGGUCCUUUUUGCUUUAGGGCAAAAAUCGGUUGCAUGGUCGAGCUGUUUACCAUGGAAGGUACAGUAAAACGAUCUCUGUUGGUUACUUUGGUUACUUGGCCUCAGAGAUCCUCUGCCUCGGCCUCUUUCCCUUCUGGCGUAGCCGCCCCUUUGGCUGUUGUCAAAGUUUGGUUGUUGCUGGUGGUUUUGGUUUUGGUUUUGGUUUUAGGUUUGGUUUUGGUUUUGGUGCGAGGGUUGAUUACCCUCGAUCGCUAGCACUUGUUGAGCUGGGUACGAGUGGUGUUGUUGCUGGUGGUUGUAAUGCGAGGCUUGCCAGUUUUGAUCUUUUUCGGCUUACCUCUAGCGGUUCCUCUCCGCCACUCUUCUCCUGUGGUCUUCAUCUAAUCUACAAUAUUUAUCUAGCUUUGCGAACAGGGCUUCCAUUGUUUUUAGCUUUUUCCUUGAUAACUUCGAGGCUGUUGGGCUUGGGUUGAGCCCCUUGAUGCAGGAUGCUAUGGCCAUACUAUCCUCCACAUCUGGAGUUUGUGAUUUAAGCUGGACAAAUCUUUUCACAUAGCUUGCUAGAGGUUCUUUAUCUUUUUGCACACAAUUGAAUAGAUCUCCCUCAUCAUUCACGGCCCUGUGAAAGCCUUGAAAGUUUUGUACCAGCUUGGUUUUAAGAUCUAUCCAGCUGUAUAUGGACUAUGGUGGGAGUAGAGAGUACCAAUUUAAUGCCGCGCCCUCGCAUGCUAUUAUAAAUGACUUUGCUAGUACCACGCCAUAUCCUCCCGCCGAGGCUAUGGCUGUCUCGUAGCUCAUAAGGAACUGGCGAGGAUCUGUUUGCCCGUUGAACUUUGGCAGCAUGACCACUUUAUAGGUUGUGGGCCUUGGGGCUGUUUGCAAGCCUAAAGAUAAUGGAGAACUUUCGUCGAUUGUUGUGUAUGCGCUCAUUGUCACUGGGGUGUUCUGUCCAACGAGGCUAGGAUUUGGGUGUAUGAUGGGUGUGUCGUUGGUGUCGAAAGUUGGAAGUGGUGGCUGUUGUGGUGUGUUGUGCAAGUAUUGCAACUCAUUUAGCUCUUGUUGCAACUCCGCUAGCUGCCUUUUGGCCUCGUUUAGCCUUGCCAGCUUGUUGGUUGCUAACCUUUGCACUUGGAGCUCUUGAGCAAAUUUCUCUUUUUCUCUCUUUAACGCUUCUAGUUGUUUGAGUGCCGAGGCAAGCUCUUCCUCUAUUUCAUUGAGGAGGUCACUGUGCACAUUUACUGGCGGUUGUACCCGGCUCGAGGUCUCCGCCUUAAUUCUUCUUUUAUCACUCCUCGUUCUUAGGUUGGCUUCGACCCUUUUAUCUUGCUCGACCAGGACCAGCUUCCUGUCCUGCCUUGCCUCGUCCUCGGUGGCCCUCUUCUUCUUCUGGGGUGGCAUCAUUGGCUACUUGGUGGCUCUAAACAUGGUGGGCGCCAAUGUUGGGAAAUAAAUCUUAAGGAGACUCGUACGCAACAACAUUAAGGAAGCAAUCGUGGUUCAGUUUCAACAAAAUGAGCAUCCAUUUACAUCGGGGUAGAGCUCCCCUUUUAUAGUGUCUCAGAGGACACUUUACAUUCCAUGAUUACCCUUUCUCAACUACUACAUUCUUAGAAUAUUCUGUACACAAAGGUCUUUAGGAGGUAACCUGUGCGACUUGGUCUCCUUUACUGAGUCACGCUCCUCACGCCCUCAGGCAAUCCCGCAGAUCACGCUCUUAGGCAAUCGCGCGAUUCACGCUCUCAGGCGAUCCCGCAAUUCACGCCUUCACGUUUCCAACGCCUUCGCGCCCUUGACCUCGAACUCGAAAUCACCUUGGCCUCAUGCUCGAAGAUAUCUUAGCCUCGUGCCAAAAAGAUGACAGCCCCAUACCUCGGAUCUUGGCUUGCUUGUUUCAUCAACCCUGAGUAAAACACAGAGAAAAACUCGUCGCCCGAGGUUAGGCUCAGGCACUUGAGGGUGAGCUUCGUUAAAGUCUAGUCAUUAGAGAUUGUUUCUUGGCUUCGAGAUCAAAUUUGCAGCAGUGUCGCAAGGCUAGCACAACUUUUGCGCUGCAUUUGCCCCUCGAGGUUAGGGACCUUCGCCCAAGGUUGAUAAUUUUGCGAUGCUAGAUGGUUCGCGCCGAGCGAAAUGACCUCGAGGGUGACCGUCUUUUUGGGCGAUCCCCAACAAAGUUGAACAGUGAUCUAUAAGCACAGUGUAGCUAGAUAGUCUGAUAUUGAUCAUGUAGUUCGUUUUCUAUCAGUUGCUUACUUUACUAUGGAAUACCUAGGUUUUUUUCUGCAUAUGUUUUGCAUUUUCAACACUUUAGAUGUUACAAUAUACAAGACACUCCUUUUGUUCCUUCCAUUAUAUUUUGUUUGUAUCAUUAAACUUGAAGUUUUUUGUUGUCUGUUCCAUUUUGCCAGAUGAUGGAAAUCUCUAUUUUUUAAGUAGAUGCGCGAUCUAGUACCUAAGAAAGCAUAAUGCAUGUUGGCCUUGUACCCACUCAAGUUAGGACCAGCCACAGGUCAUAGCAUUUUGUGCUGGCCUGCAAGGCCUUAAUGUUUCUGGUAUGUUUGGUCCUGACUCCUGAACCACGUAGGUUGUUUCAUUUUGUUUAAGCCUUCUUCGGUUGUCUUUGAUAAUAAAAGUAAGCACUUACUUUGCUGUAAAAAAAUAUAAAAAAAGUUAUGUUUUGAUAAUGACAUGCUUUGUCUUUUUGCAUGGACAGAUUGAUUGUGACUCCCUUUUGUUUCCUGUGUAUGACUGAUCUACCUUCCUGUUGUCAUGCUCAGGUGAAUUGUUGUUUAGGAGUCUGCAACGAUUUUUAAAUUCGUGUCCACGUACAUCUCACAUGCUGAAACCGUAGAGGAAAUCUAUCGCACAGGAAGUGAGACGAGGACUAGGCAGCUGCAUUGCUGCGACAUGCCGAAAAAUUGAGCAAAGGCAAGCACCCUGGCUUCUUAGAUUUCUAAGCUGGCAUGCAAUGCCGAUGACAUACUUUCUUAUCAAAGGGACCUACUCUUUUGGGAUUCUUAGGAUUCAAGUAUCCUUCACUGGUCACUUUAUUGGUAUGAGAGGAAGAAAAGGGGAAAAAAUAGAGAUAGAGGGGGGAAAGGUCACUGAAUGAGGUAGGGCAGAAAGGGACUCCAAUCUAAGGUUAUCUUAAUGGCCCAAGAAUUAUUCAGCUCUGCGAUUGUGAGGUGGAAUUUGCUGGACCAUCAAUUCAGCCAGCCCAAUUCGGUCUUCUACUGCUCCACAGGGAUGAGUGAAUGAUCAUGUGAAACUUUUGCAUGCCUUACCACCACCAGGUCCAUGAGUAACAUCCCUUUAGGUGGAGGGGCAGGACUGGGGGAGGAAAGAUGGCUAUAAAUAUAUACGGUGUGUGAUGCAGAGGGGGUCAUCUUGUGCUGAAAGCAAAGCUUGGCUGGCUGGAAAGAGGUACGGUGGGGAAGCUGACGAUGAAGAGGCUGCUGAUUGUACGAAGGUGCGAGCCGAUUGUGCGGUUCAGCUGCUGCAGCGUGCGCUACGGGGAGUGCCGCCGGAACCAUGCGGCGAGCACCGGAGGCUACGCCAUCGAUGGGUGCCGGGAGUUCAUCGCUGAAGGGGAGGAGGGCACCGGUGGCGCUCUCAAGUGCGCGGCCUGCGGUUGCCACCGCAGCUUCCACCGCAGGGUGCAGGUCUAUGAGUUUGCGUGGGACUACGGAUCCUACACAUCGUCGACCGAGUAGAGUGUUGCCCCAAGCUUGGAGUCCUGCUCCGGCAAUGGCGAAUGCCCAAAAAUUCGCCCUCUUCUCAUGUGUCUCCGACGACAAGCUGUCCGGUGCUUGUCUAGGACCCUUGUGAUUCUUUGUAACUUGGAGCUCAGAAUUAUCUAUCUAUUCUUUCUGCUCUGAACCUUUCUGUGGUACCUGGUUUCAUGAGAGUUGUGCCCUCUCUCCCGUUGGCGAUCCACAGUGACAGUAGUAUCUUUGCUGGCUACUGUGUGGGAAUGAAUGUAGUUUUCGUCACUUUCCUGUCUUUGCCAGCUUGUUUAUCUGAAAUAGAACGGUUAUUCUGUUAGGCUGAGAAUUUUCUCUGUACAUGCAAAGUCAAGGGCUCAUGCUUCAAUUCUUCAUGUCAAAUACUGACCCAAACCCAAUUCGAACGCGAGAAUUUUCCUCAAUUCCUGCAUAAAUCAGGUUUUUUUCCCUAGCAGAAUUCAUGUGAAAUUCCUGCGUUAGCAACGGGCAUUGAGCUAGCCGGAAGGUGAGCUCUUUGGCAUCGCCAUAUGGCAACUUAGGCUGCAAGUACACAAGAGGUACGAGUAGAUGACGUGUAGCACGAGGUAUAGUUCAUCUCUUUGGCGCCAACGGGUGCAGAUUCGGGUCCCUGUGCAGCCUGGUCGACACGACUGUUAUUUUGACAUUUAUGUAGAAGGAAAAGUUAGAUGGGAAUUCUCAGAGCCUGGGCUGGACUGGACUGUGACAGCAGCAUAAAUAAACGUGCAGCGCACUUAUGGCGGUUAAUUCGCAGAGAUACAAAGCCUGUUCGCUUCAACUUAUCAGUCGGCUUAUCAGCCACCAAACAGUAUUUUUCUCUCACAACAAAUCAGUCGUUUCAGCUUUUCAGCCGGCUUAUAAGUUCAGCCGAACAAGCUAACACUCUAUGCCUAGCUAGGCCUUCCUUUUUAUCCUUCUAACACUCUUUUACUCUUUUGGCCCGCCUUCGAACGCGUCACCAUGCAUUCACAUUUUCAGAGGAACUGCUUCCCCUGGAACAACUAUGCUGCUAUAUUCCAUCGGCCUUUUCGACCAGUGAAAACAUGGACAGCAUCUUUUUGAAACAGAAAAAUCUAAAGUUGAGAGGGUUCUCGAUUUUAAAUUUACUCCGGGAGUCCCUCUAAUUUAAAGCUGACGAAAAAAGAAUGGGAUGUCAGAAGACAAAACGGGAAAAAACAGAGGGAGGUAACAAUGAGAAUGAAGGAAGCAAUGCCACCAAUCUUAUUGGUGAGUCUCUCCUCCAGCGACCUCCUCCUCCAAAAAGCACCUUGUUUUCUUCGACGACUAGCUCAACGCUAGUGAGCUCUAAUUUGGAUUAGGAUUUGGGGUUAGAUUAGGGUUUCAGGGUUUCGGUUAGGGAAGGUUCUGUGCUAGCAGAUCUAAAGGGGAUGUCGGGGAGGCUGCCGGAUGGGCAGUGGUGGUGGGGUGUGGGCGGGAUGGUGAAGCGGUGGUGGCACCACUCGCCGCAAAUGGUGGAGACCGGUUGGGAGGGCUAGUGGCGGGGAGUCGUGAUGGUGGUCACAUACAAGACGGCAGUCGCAUGGGUGGCGAAUCCGUCGUAUCAGAAGGGCUGGUUGGAGAGCUUGUCCAUAUGUGUUAGGGUGUCGGAGCGGUGGAGGGGAGGGGGAGGGAUUCGCUGCGGGCAGGGUGCGAGUGCGACGGGAUUCACAGCGGGGGGCUGAAGCGGGCGGAGAAAGACAAAGUAAAGCAGUGCGUCUUUUUUUUUUUGCAAUUGGCAAAUGGAUAAGGCGCGAGUUGGAGGGCUCUCAACCGAACCUUAUCGAGAGAGCUUUCUCCCAGUACUUGCCUCCUUUUUUAAAAGGAGCGAGAACAACUUUAUCAUACCAAUCUCAACUUCCACGUCGAUUCACGAAGCCAGGAUAACCAAUUUUAUCCCUAAUGUUUCACCAAAAGCUCACUUUAGUUUAUAUGGUUGCAAAAGGUUCAUGUUAAGGCCUACUUUGUUCUUACUUCCUAGCCUCCACUUGCCAUGCGCAAAGUGCGGCGAUGUCACAACUGGUGGCUUAAAAAAUGGACACCACACUAUGCGGCAGGAAAUGCAUACAGUUUGCCUUAUUUCAAGCGUGGUUGUUCCUUAUCUCGAACCAAGCAAUAGCAAUCUUAUUGUGGCGCCACUAAACCUUGGGUGUGGCAACUGGAGGUGGGAGUCAAACAUCCCUAUUAAUUUUCAUCUUUGAUGCCAUUUGUUCCAUUUGGAAUAUAGAGUGCCACAUGUGUGUGCAUUUAGUCAGCAGUUAGCGGGUUUGGGUGGUUCGGAUUUGCAUAAUUUGUAGCCAAAUUUAUAGGUUUUGCUUAGGUGGGGUGAAGCACUAAGUGUUUAUUUAGUUUGUUACCACAAUACGUUUGGUUUGUUACCACACUUGCAGCACGCUGCAAACACUACCACAGUACGCUAGUUCAAUUCCUGCGCCACCAGCUGCCUGAGGUUUGGCGAACAAAUCGCCUGCCACACCUUUUACGCGGCUGCAGCGGCCACGUGGCACCCAACGGCAUGUACCAAACAAACCUAAAGCACUCUAAGAAAAUGUAGAUAUGCUAAAAUUUCUGCCCAUCCAAACAAUUGUCGACAAAGCACAUAAUCUCCCAAACAUGGUCUAUGAUUCUAUGCAUAAUAAUGCAUGUGUGGUCGCAGCAAAAGGAGAAAAGGACAAGAGGUGCUUGUAUGGACAAGAUUUUGUAAUGCAGUGGUUAACUUGUACCGCAGUUCACCUCCAAUCACCAAGAUUAGGUCCCAAGAUCCUGUAACGAAACACAGAACGAAUUGUUUCUAGAGUAAGCUCCAGCCAGGGCACGGAUUGGCGCGCAGAAAGCAAAGACAAAAAAUAAAAGCACGAGUGAAACGACAUACAGCCCAAGAAAUAAGCCCAUUUCUUACUCUCUUCUUUUCUUACUGGAGGCCCAGUACGGAAUAAAGGACCCACGUGCGGGCGGGGGAGCGGACGGCAUAAUGAGGUAGAGACGAAGCAUGGAAAUGCGGCCCGAUAGGAAACGAAAGCCGCCCCUUAAUCUUUUUUUGGACACCGCGCUGCCAACGAAUGACUAUGUUUAUAUCGAACAAAUAUGACGACUUUGCAGAUAUCAAGGACAGAUCCUAGUCGCUUUUGUGCUGUUCGUGCACGAAGGUAGGGAAUCCAAUUGGCAAGCUCGUAUUGUUUCUAACUUGCCUUGCUUUCUCUUGGAGUUGGAGAUGGCCAUCAUAUUUGGCUAAUCUCCCUUCCUGUAUUUAAAGGAUGAAAAUGUGUCCUAAAUUAUAGCUAAAGUCCUUUCAUAUAAAAAAAAUAAUCCAGCAUUUUUCGGCGAGAUGAAGUUAAAAAUUUUGGCAGUAUUCUUUGGCCCAACCAAAAAGUAGCACGGCCUAUGGCCGGCCAGGUAACUGAAACAUCAUACAAAUUGUGAAAUUGGCUGUCAGACAGAUCCUUUGAUGCUCCGAGUGACCUCUCUCCAACCCUAAUUACUACCACACCCAACUUGCUAUUACCAGAGCACACACCACAAAAAAAGGGGGGGAAAGCGUGUCAAGCGAUGUAUGAUAAUCCGUAAUCCACCCAGCACCUUCUGCGAUCCCCUGCAAAUGAUGCCACCGUAUAAUCAUGGCCUGCAGACAGAACCAAGCAAUAGGGCAUGAUGCCAAUCGUAAUAGCAUGUCAAUUGUGAAAGGGAUUGCUUUUAGUACUGAUGCUUAAUAAAAUGUAAUUAUUUUCAGCAGCAAUUAGGGAGUUCAGACUAAUUGCAUUUACCUAUGUCUCAUUCAGUGACCCCACAGAAUUAUGCAAAAACCCAACCCCUAUUUGACCAAUUGGAAGUGACAUGUUGAAGUAACAAGUGCCAACCUGCCCUAUUUGGUCAGACUUUGAUGUCAUAUAUCGGCAAUAAUCCACCCCCCCCCUAAAAAUAUUAUCAUAUCAUUAAUUAAUUAGUAUGAACAGUUUUUAGAAGUAUCUGCAAACAAAAAUCACUUUCUAAAACAACAUUUAUUUAUGAUGCAUGGGAGGUGGUACUAAUCUAUCUUCUUUUCAACUGUGUUUGAUGAGUUUUUUUUCCUGGGUGUUAGCGUGGCUAAUUAUCACCUUUGGAAUAAAGAUAGAAAAUGAUAGAAAAGGUUAGCCACUUUCGGCUAACUUUGAUGGAGUUUUCAGAGAUAAGAUUAAGAUCCCCAUCCCCAUGCCAUCCACCCUAUGCCUCAUAUAAUACUUUAUUUUUCAAUUAUUGGAUGCAACUCCUCUUUUGUGGACCCAGAGCACCAAGUGUUACUGUCGCAGUGAACACAAAAUCUAGAAGAUUAGCAGCAUUUUGCUUGCAACAGCAAAUACUCUCCUGAAUAACAAAUAACUGAGGUUUUUGACAGUCGAUAAAAUAAAACCGUAACAAGUAAUUUUUUUAUAAUCGUUGGCCAAGGUUUAGUUUACGGCCCGCACCUGAGCAGUUUUCUUUUAUUGUACUAUGUAGCUACACAAUAGCCAAGCAUAUACAGGUUUAAUUUGAGUCAGACAGGCCAUACGGGGAUGCAAUUUACUCGGAGCAAAUAAGCAAGCUGUCAAGUGGGCAUGGUGACCUGAGGCUCACAAUUAUGCCCCCAUCUUCAUAUUAUCCACAGGGAAUCUUUUGUGGAGGACAUCAAAGCACCAAUACAACAUAGAUAUGAUAUGAGUGCCACCCAUGCACACAUAGACAGAAGACAGAUGCAGUCAAUUGCACACAUAGGCACCCAUCAAUGACAGUUUUCCUUUGCUCCUCUCCACUCCAUUCUCCACUUAUGUGGCUUCUUCUCAGUGAAAGAGAGAGAUGGAUGGGCAUGGACUGCAGUGCAUCUUGGAAGGGUGUUUUUGCACACAUGAUUAUUAGCUGCCCAGUGCAGCAGCAUCAUUCUUUCUCUCCCCACUCCCAACUUUCACCAGACCCCUACUCUACUCCAUCUGCAAUAGGAAUUCAUUAUUGUUGCAAUGGCAGAUGCACUCAAUAAAUGGAAUCAUGCUGAUUUUGUGCCAUUGCCAGCCAGAUACCUCAGAUGCAUUCCCCACCCUUGCAUCAAAUGGGGAGAGGCUGAUGCCUGAUGGUGCAUGUGGUUACAGCAGGGAGCAUUUACCAGCUGGAAUUAGUUGUAUUAUUGUUAGGAGUUACUUGUAGUUUGACAUCCAAGGCCCUCAUGUGAUCUCCAUGGUUUGUGUAUACCCCACUUUGCUAUCACAUUAAUUUGUUACUGUGGUGUCUGUUGUUGAUGUAAUUCCUUCAACCUUUUUUUUCUAAUAACAUAUUUUUAAUGAAAUCUAGUAACAUUCCUACAUUCCAAACAGUUCAUCCUAGAUAUUUUGAAACGGCAUGUAGUAUUUUGGAGUCGAGGAAAAAAAAUCAAGACUAUUGAUUACUCAAUAAUAGAGAAGUACUAACAAGCAAUUUGUUUGACAAAUAAAUGCUUCCAGGAAAAGCAUCAAAGGAUAAACCUAAACCUCAAAGUCAUUCCAUGCAUACAUAUUAUUCCAAGAUUCCUAGUUGUUAAAACGGGACCAUCCAGUAUCAUGACUUUGGGAAAAGGAUUAAGACAAUUACCGCAUCGAGAGCGGCAUUUCGGUGUAUGCUUUGAUAUUGAUCGGGAAAAGGAAGCAAAGUUAGGCUUAUCUCCAUUGGGUGAGGUCCAAGUGUUUGGGUGUUAACAUCGUUCCAAAAAUCUGAUUACCAGUUGCGGUUGUGUGUUGAAGUAUUGGGAGAAUAAUUGUGCGCAAUUUUGACUAGUAAUCAACCACCACGUGAACUAGUAAUCAGCAUGGACAGGCACCAUGUGUCGUCGCCAAAAAUCUGUACUAUUUGAUCUGUUUUUUUCUCUAGGGGUGAUGGAAUGGAACAUUGUUGUGAACUGUCACUGCAGGAGCUGGUCCAGUAACUUUGCUAGCUCUCUGCAAUCCUAGGACUUUAGGUAACCUGAUGUGUCGGAUAGGGUACAGUAACAUAUGGAGGACAAAUGUUAGGUCUUAAUCAAGAUCACGUCUAAUCCAGAUAGAUUAAUGUGGUCAGUCACCACUAUGGAUGGAGUGCUCUAGUAAAGUUUGUGGUGUUGAUGUUCUCUUGUAUUGUACAUAUUGGAUGGGUUCCAAACGGAGGAAUUUUCUGCUUGUUUCACAUCUUUUUUUUAUCACUUUGUUCAAGAGUAUCUUCUCUGUUGCAGUUCUUUCAGGUCUUUUUAUUGACCUUGGUGAUUAGGUCCUAAUCGAUUCUGACAUGCACAUCACCUUCUCUUCAUUACUUAAAAAGAAGACCAUUAUGCAUUUUCGUUAACAAGAAAGAAAGCCAAACUCAAGUUGAAAAGGAACUUGAACCUAGAUUCAACUAAGAUAGAUUAAAUUGACAACAUAUGAUACGCAUUUAGAUUGACUAAUUCUCUGUGGGAGAUAAUUUUGCAGGGAAGGGGAGGAUUUGCAUCAGCUUGUGUGGCAGAUUAUUCAGCUGGCUUAUCAGCCAUCAAACAGUGUUUUCCUCUCACAACAAAUCAGCCGUUUCAGCUUUUCAGCCGGCUUAUAAGCUGAAGCGAACAGGCCCAAGUUGAAGAUAGAUAAGCAUGACAGCUCACAUUUUCUGAAAAGCCCCCCUGUUGUUCGGUUGUUCCCCUGUGGUUGUGGCCUCUUCGGCUCUUCUUGCUCCAACUUCUCACCCACACCACACAAUAGAAAAAUCUUCUGUGAGAGAAGCAGCACUUUUGGAUACGGCUCACACGUACACGCUGGUAGGAGUAUCUAGGAAGGCUCUAGCUAGCUAGGGCUUCAGCAUGCUACAUAUGCUAGUGAGUUAGGGUAAAAGCGCAUUGAUUGGUGCUAAUUCCCUAUCAUCUUGAUAGCCAGCCAGCCAGCCAGCCAGCCAAGGCAUGCAAUGCAAGGCUCCGUCACCAUCACUAGAUUAGAUGCGCUUUUAGGGUUUGAAGCUUUGGGUUUUGCCAUGCAUGAUAAAUUAAAGGCGGCAUGGAGUUCAUUGGUCCCAUGCACGCAUGAGACUCUGCAUGUGGAUGGUCCUCAGUGCCCAAUGAUUAGCUAAAUAAACCCAUGAAAAUGAAAUUUUAAAUUCGACCCACACUACUCCCUCCGUUCCACAAACACCUUCAUAACUUGUUCCAUAAAAAGUAUCCAUAUAACUCUCACACAAUCCAACAAAGACCCUCAUAAUACCUUCUGGUCAGCCCACAAUCGAUGCCCGAGUCAGACUCACUAAAUAAAGAAGGCUAAUAGGUCCAACAAUUACUGCAAGCGUGCAUGCAUAAUUAAUUCUACUCGGUAAUCUAUCCGAUUAAGAAGAGUUAUUAGGGGUACUUUGAACUUUUAGCAUUGUCACUAUCUUGUCUAAAAUUUUUUAAACGAACAAUUUUUGUGGGACGGAGGGAGUACAUCUUGUAGCAACGGAUCCGGCCAGUAGGCUCAGACGCGUUAGGGAAUGAUCCAGAAGGCUACUGCUUCUUGGUUUGUCCAUAAUUCGUCGUGCACCCUGAUCAAGAACUUAUUACUGGUUCUAAGAAAAAAAGUAAUGAGAAAUGACUAUGUUAAACCAAACUAGAGAGGCUUCCUCUAUUUCACCAUGUUUGUCCACAUAUCACACCAUAGUAGUAUUAGAAACAGAACAAGAAAGUAAUAGUUCCAAGAAAAAAUUAGUGUGAAAUGGUCACCUAUACUGCUAAAUAGCAUGAUACAAUUAAGUAAUUAACUUACUCUUACGAUAACUACACAUCCUUAAAGGACAAAUAUUUUGGAUUGUACCACGACUAUACUAAAAUUAAAACCAGUUUACAAGGGAAAGUUCCCAUUGCAGCUAGUACUAGUAGAAAAGGAGUUGGUGCUUCCACAACGACCAGCAUUUGGCGCUGUUCAAAGCACACUGAUCGUAUGCUAGGCGCCUUUAUUGACGCUCUCUCAAGUCAAAACGGCGUCCGAUUUCCACCAGAUCCGUUUGAGAGCAUUAGUCCCCCUUGAUCUCAACCAUCUGAUGGGCCCGUUGACCAGGUACCGACUGAUGGGACCCACGAGGCACUACCUCCCGUCAUGGCCCACCUGUCAGCACAGCCUCACCGAAACAGAGGUACCUACUGCCGUAGGUCACGUAUGCGAGUGUACCAGAGAUCCAUACCGAAACGGGGAAGCGUGUUUAAUGAGCCCUCGUCUACCUCGCAAGAUCGAUGGCUUCCCCCAGCACGGCAAUCAGCGGAGCAAUCAAUCAAUGAGCUCCAACAAACUCCAUUGAAAGCCACUUUCAUGGCGUGAGGCAAUAGCCGUUCCGUCCAACGGCUACCGUCGUCACAGGUCAAACCUUCGCAACAAGAUCCGUUUUGAUCACGUCCGAGUUGAUGUAUGUCCCCAAAAUAUUGAAAAUAUGGUCUGCAAGGCGAAGCUUUCAACGAUAAUUCAUAUGAAAAAAAUGAUGUUUAAAAAAUAAAUAUUUUAAACUUUCAUGGUUAAUCCAGUAACAUAUGAUUCAUUGCUAAGGGUCUGUUACUUUAGUCCACUAUUUUUAUGCAUUUUUAGUCACUAAAGUCCCAAACAGGUGGACUAAAGGCUUUAGUCCUCUAACCCAUAUGAGGUGGACUAAACUGGACUAAAUUAUCUUGGGGACACUCCUGCUCCUCAUUUAUUGUCCUUCCUCCAGGCCGGCUCCCUCCGCCGGCCUCCCUCCUGCCCGGCCCCUGCCGCCCACCCACCGCCAUCGCCGUCGGCCUCCCUCCCGCCAGAUGCGAGGGUGGGUGCGCUCUGCCCCGGAUGCGGCCUGUCUUCUUCUCCAGAGCGGGAUCCCUGUCUUCUUCUCCAGCGAGGCAAGGCGAAGGCGGGCGAGCUCUACACCAGAUGCGGGCGGCGCGGCCCCUCCUUGCUCCCUUCGCCGGCGAGCUGCGCCGCCCCGUCUUCUUCUCCAGCGGGAUCUCACGAUGCCGGGGUGGUGCGCUCCGCCUCAGGGGUGGGCCGGAUCGAAUUGGCGGAGGGCGAGAGGGAUUAGGAAUUGGUUCGCAGAAGCGGAGGAGAUGGGAGUUUGAAGGUGGUUCCGAAAUGGCUUUCAGAGGGAACAAGGAGUAGCAGCGCAAGCACAGGGGUAGUAGGGGUAAAAACGACUUUGUUCAACUAUAUUAAUGGACUUUAGUCCAUGCAACCAAACAAGGUAAAACAGGGACUAAACUUUAGUCCAUGAACUAAAGGCACCAAACAUCAACUAAUCUAUGCAGUUUUUGUAUGUAUUGACAGUUAAGGUUAUGAAAGUUUAGCAAAUGGACAUGUAUUUUGACAGAUUAACCUUUUUGUUUACCUGAAACGCCGCGAAAGUUCGUAGCAAAAGACCGUUUACAAUUCCAAUUCGAUUAUUUGAAAUUAGACCAGUUGUUUAAUUGAGCAUAGAAAUCAGACCGUUUGAAUCAGCUGUAUGGCUAGCUGGCUCAUUUAGCAUGCCAUUUAUGUUUCGUUUACGCAACAAAACACCGCAAAAGUCUGAUGCAAAGACCGUUUACCAUUCCAAUCGAAAUAUUCGAAGUAGUGCAUACCAACUCUUUUAAAAUGCCUUUCUAGCCCGUGAGUCAAACGGAUAACCCAGGCGGCUCGAAACGAGUGCACGAGACGAGAGCAUGUGGUGUCAAGCUGCGCACAUUGCGACGACACAGUUGACAGGGAGGUGAAUGCCAAGAGCCAAGAUCGAACGAAAAUUGUAGCAGCCACGUCAAGGGCGCUGCGGAAAGCGGUCUUGUCAUCAUUCCAAAAGAUGGGAAUCUCGUCGACCUUUUCCGAGUUCACGCUGAUGGUCUCUUGCUAGCUGUUGCCUCCGGAUUUGCCCAACUACUGGUCUCUUGCUUAGUGGGUGUUUGCUUAGUGGGUGUUUCGUUCGUUUAGUCCAUAAACUAAACUUUAGUUCCUACUCUAUUUGAUUUCAUGGACUAAAUUCCAUUAAUAUAGUUGAACAAAGAUCCUUUUAUCCCUAUGGUACCCCUAUUCUGGCUUCUGCUUGCUUGUCCUCGCUCCCCGUUCCCAUUCCUUGCCGGCUCCUUUCUUCUUCGAAGAGAGAGAGAGCAGGUCAAGGCCUCGAGGGGGGUGCGACGAAAGGUGGCGCCUUUGGGCGCGCGCGCCAGAUCUGGGCUGGGUGGGGGCUCCGGCCGGUGACGGGAGGAGGAGGAGGGCGGCGGCGCCGAGGACCAGCUCCAGGAGUAGAUGAACGCCAGCAUCCGGAUGGAGAUGGAGGAGUCGCCGGCAAGGAUGGUCGGAGGUGAUGAAUCGAUCGAGCUCUUUGACGAUUUCGCUGAUUUCGAAUUCGCUUGGAGCCCCCACGCGGUUUGCGCUGAAAAAAUCGCUGCUUCCUCUUGGGGUUUCAAAGGAGGAAGAGGAUGAGAAAAAGGAUGAGGUGCUGCCCAGCAUGGAGCCCGCGAUGACCAAGUCGACCGCCGGCGACAUGCAGGUGGACGGGAACCGCUCCACCAUCUACGCGUCCGGCGACAUUCGGGGGCGAGGGCGGCGGAGGGAGGCCGGUGGCGGCGGCCGGGCUGGAGGGCGGCGGAGGGACGCCGGCGGUGACAGCGGCGGGAAGGAGGUUGGCGGCGUCGACGGCGGGCGGGAGGGAGCCGGGUGGGAGGGAGGGCAAUAAAUGAGGAGCAGGGGUGUCCCCAAGACACUUUAGUCCAGUUUAAUACAGUUUUGUGGACUAGAGAAUUAAAGCCUAGUUCAAACUUUAGUCCACCUGUUUGGGUGUUUAGGGACUAAAAGUGUAUAAAAACAAUGGACUAAAGUUUAGUCCAUAGGAAUAAACAGGCCCUUAUGCCGGCGGCUGAUCAUCAUCUCCACAGGAUUGUUAUUUUUCCAGCGUGCAUGAAUAUUCCUCUAGACGAAAAGGAUAAUUAUUUGGCGCACACAACUUAAAUUUUAGGUUAUUGUUGAGGUCUCUUUCAAAAUGAAAAAUACUAGAGGAAUUUGGUAGGAUUAUGAUCCUAUACGAAAUGUUCCUAUAAAUUGUGGACCGUAAAAUUUCUCAUACUUCUACCCCGGCCAGUACUAAUUUACUCGAGUAAGGAAACAAGUUUGACCCUUGCUGGGGUAAACCAGAUUGACCCUCCUCGGAAGCCGCGCCGCUCCUUAAAGAACCAUUUGCAGUGGUUACUUGGAAGGCACUACAACUACCGCCUCCGUCAUCACUGCGACCUAUAGGCGGGGCAGAUCACACACACACAGUCCUCUACUCCAGCCAAAAGCCACUUAAACAAACCGGUGACAGCUCACUGACGGGCAAGAGUCCAACAAUCUGAUAACAGAUCUCGCAGGCAAAAUUUAAUCGGAAUCAGACACAGAGAACCGUUGAGCAGCAGCAGCACUAGUGGUAUACCCCCCCCCCCCCCCCCUCCCCAAAUUUAAUAAGCUGCCGCGCUGACGUCACGGCACCUGGACCAGGGGAAAGAUUAGUUGAGCUUUGCUUGAUUAGGUAACCUUAAUAUCUGCUUGAUUGGGCUUGGAGUGAUCAAAUAGGGAAAGGAAAGAAUCCAGUAGCUCGGUUUUUUUUUUCUAAUUUGAUGAAAGCUGUGAGCUUAUCAUGGAAGCUCAUUAGGAUAAUGUUCUUUUAUAUGUUAAUAAGCUGGGGAUGGAUAAUGAUAAAAAAAAAAGGUGGUGGAUGAAAGCGUGUGGGCAUCGAUUCCAUUGACGUUUCAGCGCUUGAUGGAGUGUGUGUAGCAUGUUAGUAGUAUUACCACUGUGGAGAUAAAAUAUUCCAUUCGGUUCCAUUAUUCAAUCUGACAUUAUUUGUGGGAACGGAAAGGUGAGUGAGAGUGGAAAAGGGGGGCGCCUUAAUCCAUCGUUUUCGUCCAUUCCCCUUUGGAGACCAUAAGUCAUUUACCGAUGAUUGAAAUAUUCACUAAUCUUAGGAGUUGUAUAGCCUUUUAGGUGCUGUGAAUCCUAAAAGGAGGGGACGCUUUUACUUUCCAUGGCGAGGAAUUGCUCUUUUCGUUCUGCGACUUUUUUAUUACUCUAUGUACCUAGUCUCCAAGAUGAGACGUGUCCAUUUCAUAACCACGUUUCAGACAAUACUAGAUACUAAAAAUGUAUACCUUACAAAAAGCAUUAUGAAAAACAAAUCUACUCGUGUUAGCCAACCUCGAUAGGUUUUAGAGUAUCGACUUGAAUCCUUCGGCAUACUAUAAGCUGCAAUAGCCGGAGGAGCCAGCUGAUAGCUAUUUAUAAGCCAGCUGAGGGGAUGUUUGGAUACGAGGUAGGAGUGUCACAUUAGAUGUUUGGAUGCUAAUUAGAAGGACUAAGUAUGAGCUAAUUAUAAAACUAAUUGUAGAACCCAUAUACUAAUUCGCGAGACGAAUCUAUUGAGCCUAAUUAAUCCAUGAUUAGCACAUGUUUACUGCGGCACAUUGUCAAAUCAUGGAGUAUUAGGCUUAAUAGAUUCGUCUCGCGAAUUAGACUCCAUUUGUACAAUGAGUUUUGUAAAUAGUCUAUAUUUAAUACUUCUAAUUAGUAUUCUAACAUCUGAUGUGACGAAUACUAAACUUUAGGAGGUGUUUCCAAACACCCCCUGAGUUGCUUGGAUCGGCUAGAUGCUUUUUCCUAUCAGCCUUCUAUCAACUCUAGCUGAUCCACACAAACAAAAAAAGGUCGUUGAGAGCCACAGUUACGUUUCUAGCCUAGAGAACAGUAGAAACUCUGACAAUUUUUUGCCUCUGGGAUUCUAGGUGUUGCAAACCAGCAUAUUUGUUUUCAUUACUAACACAAACACAUGUCCAUAUGUGACAAAUGGAACGGUCAUUUAGAAUGUGAGAAAAGGAAUGGUCAUUUUUCUUCUGAAAUCUGUGUGCUCCACGGAGGCCCUAGUUGCACUUAUAUUACCAAGUACAGGUAACCCUAAGGAAUAAACAAGUGAGAAGAAGGGCAAAGUAACAUGUUCCAAUCCCAUUAAACAAAUGCAGAUCCAGCUUCCAUGUGCAAUCCCCAUGCCCCAUGCCAGCAUCAAAUCCCUAGUAUUAUAGUAAUCCCAGGUGUAGCAUGAUUACCUGGGAAGGCACCUUCUAAUAGUAGGAACAUCCCCUCAUCAGAUUAACAAUAGUUCAUUUGGGGAACCUAACCAAAGGUAGAUCAGGAUAGGGAAAUGAGGAAUCUCAGCUGGCAACGCACCGGGCGUGCAGCAGGGCAGGGAUUAUUGUUUUGUUAGGGUUUUGCGGCCAUCUCAUGAACCCCAACAACCCAGCAAGCAGAUCUUUGAAGCCCAUCACGAGCACAGGAUAAAGCAUGAUGAUGAGGAGCAUCCAUAUGAUGAGUUCCCCUUAAAGAGGCACCAGCAUCACCGAUCACAUUAACAAAGUGAUAAAUCUUCUCAAAAUAAAAAAAAUCCGUUGUUUCUCGAUGAUGGAGUGUUUCAAUAUCCUGCAUAGUGAGGUACACGCAGCCUUUCGCCAUGGAAAAUAACCUCCUUUAGUUACCUUUAUUUUUUUUAAAAAAAACUCCUUUAGUUACCUCCUAAAUUGCACAUUUUAAUAUUUGACCAUCAAUAACUUCAAAAAAUCAAAUAGAUCUCUCAUAUAUAGAUCUUUCUAUAAAAAUAGUAUAUUUUUAUAAACAUUGAUAGUCCAGCAAAUGUUCAGUACAGUGUACUGUUAGAUCAUUGACGGAAAUACAAUAAAGAUUCGAUUUGCAUCACAAGGGACAAAACAAUGCUCCAUUUUUCUGUGGCAAACCAUAAUUACUUAAAUUAUGAGGUGCCACUGCAGAGGGUAAGGGACUCUCCCCAUCGGCAGAUAUGUGAUAAUUGGCGAUCCUGUAGAAAGAACCAAAAAGAGGCGUUGGCACCACAAUGCGGUGAAUAUCAUUGAGAGCAAAUCAUGCGUGCGUUUGUUUAGCAGCCGCAGCGCAGGUGCAACCAUCGAUUGCGCUCUUUGGGAAUUGAGCAGGGAUGAUCGCCAAAGCAGCGGACGCAGGCAGGCGAAGGUGUAAAUGAAAAACAAAAGAAAAAAAAACGCACAUCUUUUUCACCCUGCCUGGCCUGCGCCCUGCGCAGCGCUGCUGUCAGGACGCCAUGCCUAGGCUAAUGCCAUCACGAGCGCAGAGGCAGCUACUAGUAGCUCACUGCAUGAUUUGGCUUGUCACGGCAGGCCAGCAGCCGAGCCCCAUCCCCAUGGCCUCCGAGCGGCCUUUUCAGCGUCAAUGGCGGCAGCUUUUGGAGCCCCACGUCCUCCCAGCGCGACAAAAAGCAUCGCCUCCCUCCUCAUAUUCCAUCCCAUCACCCACAGUGCCGGCGGUACGAGGCCGAACAGCGCCCGCCAUUUACUUGCCCUUUUUAGCGCUAAAAACAUUCUUAGGACAAAGCGUCGCUGCCUAAUUGCCUACCCCUGCCCCAGCUCUAGAUCCUUAUCUAUCCAUCAGAUCAGAUCAGUCUCUAAAACUGUACGACCGGCCUGAUGGCUGCCUGUGCUCUCGUCGUCUCUGCGCUUUUGGCGCUAGAGUUGUUGCGAAGCAAGCACUUUUCAUGGCUUCAAUGCCUGCCUUCCUGUUCCUGACUAGUGGAAGGGGUUAGGAAGAGUUGGAGGCGAAACCAUUGCCGGAUGGCCAGAACUACACUUACUGAUGUGACCAGUACUGUACUUGGUAUGGAGCUCGGCAAGCAUUUGCAAGCAGUACAGUACAGGUGUGGAUCUGUGAGAGCUUCAGCUCAGGUUAGCCUGGCUUCAGUCUAGCUAAAAGGCCACGUUAGUUAGCUAACAGAAUCUUAGUACCAAAUCAUGCAUGCAAGUAUUAUAAUAGUGCCCUGCGACUGCUAAUCAUGGGCUUAGCCAUCAUCCUACUCCUAAUGGCAAUCACAAGUACAGAGCAAGUCAAUUAAUUUAUGAGGGGAACAGUGCUCAGAGGAGCAAGAGGGGAGGCUGCUUCCGUUCGGCGCAACAAGCCACAGCACAACAGCAUGGGAUCCUAGGAGUCUAGAAGCAAGAACCCUCGCCCUGCUUUGCUCCUCUGAGCACGGCUCUUGAAUGAGCUCAAUCAAAGAGGACAAGAACAACAACCAAGAAGGCUAGGCUACAACCUCUUUUGGUUGGGAUGGGAUGGGAUGGGAUGAGAUAAUCUAAUCCUAAAUCAGCAUCAUCAUCGGAUCCCAAGAACAUACAGGGGAGGAAGCUUGGAUUCUAGGCAUGGCGCACGGCGGCGCAUGCUUUCUUGGGGUUAAUUUCUUAGAUGGAAAUUCUAAGGGAAAAAAGGAAAAAGAAAUGAUCACUGAAAUUAAGCUACAUGUUUCUCUCUCCAUUCUCCCUCCCCUCGCCCCUCUCUCUAGUUUAUGCGGACUGCGGCGACGAGGGUCCGUUGACGUUGUCCGGGUGGCCGGCGGUGACGGUGGGGGCGGAGGAGGCGGCGCCGUUGAUGUUGAAGCCGGUGGCGGUGGGCGGCGACGAGGUGAGGACGGGAGGGGGAGGGGUGAUGGCGGACGGGCUGAAUGACGGUGCGGCGACGCCGGCGUUGGCGGUUGAGGUGUGGACCGGCGCGGCGCCGCCGCCGGGGCCGGCGGGGGCGGAGGAGGAGGCGCUGCGGCGGGCGCUGUGGCCGCCGAGGAAGUUGUGCUUGUUGUUGUGCAUCCAGACCUUGAAGACGCCCUUGCCGACGCCGAUGUCGCGGCACCACUCGUCGACGAUGGCCUCGUCGCGCUUCUGCAGCCGCCACCCGAGCCGCUCCGAGAGCUCCUGCAUCCGCUGCUUCUGCUCGGCGGUGAACUUGGUGCGGAACCGCUUCCUCGGCAUCGCGCCCCCGGGGGGCGGCGCGCUCGACGGCGUCAGCUGGGCGGGGGGCAGCCUCUGCGCCGCGGCCCCCUGCGCGCCGGAGCCGAGCGAGAGCAGCAUGUGCGACGCCGACGGGAUUGUGAAGUACGCUGGCGGGGGCGGCUGCUGCGCCACCGGCGCCAGCACGUGGUGCGGCGGGGGCGGCGGGGACACCGACCGCUCCUCGUCGUACUCGGAGCCGUCCGAGUCGGAGUCGGAGUCGUCGGCGACGCCCGGGAGCCGGUCCUCGGGCGUCUCCUCGCCGCCGCGGUGCGGCUGGCCGUGCAGCACGCUCGCCGGCACGGGCGGCGGCGGGAGCGCCAGCGGCGCGGGCGGCGGAGGGGAGCCCUCCACCGCCCGGCGGUGGAAGUUGCGGUGGCACCCACACGCCGCGCACUUGAGCGACGUCGGGUCGGCGGGGUUGGCCCCCGGCGAGGGCAUGAACUCCCCGCAGCCGUCCACGGCGUGGCCGCCCAGGCUCGCGGCGUGGUUCUUGAGGCACUCGCGGUACAGCGGCUCCCCCGCUGCCGCCACCGCCGCCGGCACCACGGCCGCCGGCUUAACCUUCUUGACGGCGGCGCCGUUGGGGAACAUGAGGGGCUUGUACUUGACGUCCAUGGCUUCCAUGCGGCGCCCCCACUCGGCUUGGCCGGGGGCAGAGAGACACACACAGGGUGGAGAGAUUACCUCUAGCUCCUAACCCUGGGGCUUUAGCAUGGGACGACGGGUCAAGGGAGGAGGGAGGAAAACAACAGGUAAGGAGGUGAAGAGAGGGCGAGGAGAUAAGAAUAAAAGGGCAGCGGCAGCUGCAGGGAAGGCUAGUGACUAGUGAGAGAGAGAGAGAAGGGGGAGCGAGAGAGCAAGCUCUUCUACACAAGGGAGAGGAGAGCUCAUUUACUCGUGCUAUUAGUGAGCCGGAAAAAAAAACAAGUUUUUGAACGAUACUCCAUCUUGAAGAUAGAUCAGUGACGACAUGGGCUCGAAUCCGUUGGAAUUUUGCAGGGCACGCAUAUCUACCGUUGGAUUGAGGAUUAAGGGUACUGUGCCAUUUGAAGAAAAUGAUAUUAGGUGACGCCGGGGUUGUUUUCUUUUCUUGUUGGAACCUCGGCGUGUGAGGUAUAGCUGUGACGACGUCACGGUAUGGCAUAUGUAAGCCGUUGUUAUACAGUUGGCACCAACUAUAAGAUAUUCAAUGCAAUUUCACAACUACAAGAAUUAAAUAUUUUAUACUCAAUAAAAUACUGGUAUUUCUUAGAGAUAGAUGAUGACGACAUAUAUACACGCUUGGAUUCUUUUUUGAAAACAAAUAUGCACUUGGAUUUGUCCACACGGUUGCAUUCUUAGUUCAUACAGACCUCUCGGGGUUAAGAAUCAACGCUAGUGUGACCACAUAGGGGAACCCAUGACCAAUGUCUGUUUUCGUUUGACCACAUGCUAAGAUUUUUAUCAUAUGUAACACACUGCUAGCAGAUUCCUUUUAUACUUCCUCCAAAAUUAUUUUCUUUUUAUUUCCUCAUCUUGUAUAUGCAAAAAAUCAAAUCAAGCAUGGUUUUUGUCGAAUUGGUCCCUUUAAAAGUCCUAGUCAAGCUCUGCCAAUUGUGGCGUCAUUUUUAGUUUUGUGAACAUCGGCCUGAGGUGCAAUUUACAACGUCACCAUAUGCAAGCAGUUGUUAUAUAAGUUGUCACCAACUAAAACAAGUUGUCACCAACUAGGCAAAUAUAGUAGUUCAAUAUCAUGUGAUGACAAGAAUUAAUUGAAUUACACUAUUUCUUGAAAUAUAGUUAAUGAUAACAUAUGCACUCUAAUCCAUAGUUGAUAAAUUCUUUAAUAUAUAGCUAAGAACCAAGCGAUUUCGUAAUAACAGAGUAAACCAUGACCAAUGGUUGUUUUUGUUUAACAGUCGAUUCAACCAUCCAUUUAAACUUUAAGGUGUCUUCGUUGUUCUCACAAAUUUUAUGUAUGUGAUGAUAUAUUGUUGAUAUACAUCAUCAUUCAUUGUUCAAUAAUUUGAGUUUGCCUUCAAUCUGGCCUUAAAACCCAACCUAUUCCAUUUGCAUUCUGAUCGCUCAAUGGCCAUUUCACAUUUGAGAAAUUUUAGGUGACACAAAUUUCGUUGGAAAGCUACUGUAUACAUCGUCAUACAUCAGCAUGUCAUAUGAAAGUUAAUCAUGUAUAGCGGUAUUAAUUUCCCAAUGGUUACCUGUUGCCAAUCGUUAUUGUUUCAUUUUUAGUAAUUUUCUUAGCUAAUUAUCGUUUCCUAGAUGAUUAGGAUUUUUUUUCUUUUAAAAGAUAGAUUAUUGUGCAAAAACAUUCCUGAUAAACCGUUCCCAACAAGGCUGUAGACACAUAAUCAUAGGAACGAGUGUGCAUGCUUCAUUGUGAGUGUCUGCUCAUGUACGGUGUUUUAAAAAAAAUUAUCAUUGUUAGGAAACUUUUGGUCAUGUACCAUGAUGCUCCUCUUUGCAAUGCAUGAUUCCCAAAACACAGAUAGAAAAAAUAUAGGAAUGGAGUUGCAUGUCAUUUGUAAUAUUACAGGAAUAGAGAAGGCAUGACAUUCUCUAAUUGAACAUUUAGAUAAACACAUGAAUUAAAAAGGAGAGAAAUACAUGCAAAGAUAAGUUUCCCAUGAGGUUGGCAUCAUGUUAUAUUCCCCAAAAUUUUUAUGGAUCAAGCUACUACACAAGAAUUUUGAAAUACUUCAUGAAGACCAAACCUUUGUUUGAACCGACACGAAUAGUCCGUAGUUCCUGAAUGUUUUGUUUGGUAGUGGAAAAACUAUGUUUCUAGAAAAUCCGAAACAAACUACAAUUUGAGAUGGAGAAUGUACUUUGGAGAGCAAUUCAACUUCUACAGGUGCCACCAAGUAAUGCACAGUUCAAUUACGAUUCUACAAUCUUUCCAUCGGAUAAUGUUGUGAAAAAGUCAGCUCCUGAGUGUAUCUCCGUUGUAUCGUCCGGAGAGCCCAUGCCAUUGAUAGAGAAGUACUAUAGUACAAGGCUACAGCUAGUCAAACCAUUGAGACUGGCCUUAUAUCCAAAUCAAAACCUUAACUAAUAAUCCACCCACGAUCAUUGCAUAACUCCAGAACCAGAACACAGUCACGAACAAAGCUGCCAUCAACCAUGGGGCAUUCAGGCAGCGUCAGCCGUUUCGGGGUGGGGGGUCGCGUUAGAGCAACUCCGACAGAGUUGCUAUUUAACUCUCCAAGUCCAAAUUUGGGAAGUUAGUAAAAAAAUGGUGGUCCAACAUAAUUGCUAUUCAGUUCUUCGUCCCAUCCAAACUUUUCCUCACACUUCUAAACUUGGCAAGCCAAUUUACCUUGUCAAAAUGUGAGUUCCACACGCAGUAAUUGUCAGAAUGGAGAGUGCAAAAUGAAGAGACUGUUGAAGUGGAUGGAUAAUGUAUAUUUUUAGAGAGAAAACUAGUCGUUGAUAUUUGCAGUACGGAAAAUGGCUCUUACGUUACGUUACGAGCCCCUCCUGGCUUAGGCGUGCGGCGCCCGGAGACUUUUGGAACGUAUGCGUGCGCGUAGGUCCGCCUGGCCGGCCCUCCCCCACGGAGGAACUCGGAAACGGAAGAGGGGUCAGAGCGAGGGGUGAUGACACGGAAGCAAGGUCUAAAUGGAACAGGUGGUGCUCAUAAAUUUGGCCAUUUACUCCCUGAUGGUGCGGUGGUUGGAAGGGCAUCACGCAGGGGGGCGAAGAUCCGGCCGAAACGGAUUACGUGCACGCGUGAUGACUCCCAUCCCCGAUCGCCACGCGCGCGCGGAAUCGGCCGUCGGAUUGGCACGGCGCUGGCCCGGGUGAAGUAAUUAAAUGGAGCAGUGUGUUACUAGCACCGUUUCGGCCUGGCAUGCACUUGAUGGUUUUGGACGUGAGGUGGUGUAGCCGUGUAGGGGGGCUUUGACGCUUUUGUGGUUGUGGUACAGUGCAGCACAGGCACAGCGAUGCCCAUGGCGUGCCUGGUGACGCAGUAAAUACAGAUACCGGUAGCGUUGCCGAUUGCAGCGUUGUACGCAGAGGUGGGGGUCAAAAGAACAGGACAGCGCGAGCGCGUCUGUGGCCUGUGGCUACACGAGAGCCGGACAACCGGUGCCGCUCGUAAGGUACGAGUAAACCGUAAACGAGCAAUUCAUGAGCUAGAGUGUUUCUUUUUUUAGAUUAGAGGAGUUCCAUGUUCUAGUGAUACAUCGUUGGUGCAUACUGCCUAAGCCGCGCGGGGGGUUUGAGCUGAGGCCCGGCCAGGGCCAAGGCCGACCGGGCUCGAGGCUGGGGCUCAGAAUGUUUCUGGUCCAGCGCCUAUGCAACCCCCGGCGACAGCCGGGGCAGAUCACGGAGAACUGAAUUCUGCGCGCUAAGCGCACAUGCUGUCCCAGCGUCCCUGGAGCGAGCGCGAGCAGAAGCAGUGCAGAACAGGCGCACGACGAAACGAAACAGUUGGUGGCGCUGUAAAAACCAGCCGGCCGGCCGCAAGGGCGGGCGGGCCCCCCACCACGUGGGGAGCGGCGCCUCGGCGGCUGCCGGCUCCUGGAGUGCUGCUCAUCAGCGCGGCCGAGACGGUGGUCGCCAGCUGCCACCACGCCGCGCGGCCGCGUACGUUGGUUGCGCGCGCGGGGGCAGGGCAGUGGGCGCGGGCCGGGUGGGGACUGGGGAGCCGGGGAGCGGGGAGGGAGGGAAGGGUAGCUCUCGCUGCGUCUGCGUCUGCGCCUGUGGGGCUCCCGGCCUCCAGCUCCUCGGCCUGGCUCCCUGGCGGCAGAUGGAUGGAGACGGAGAGGUUCAGAACUGGAUCCGGGGUGGUUUGGUUUGCCGUGUUGGGUUGUUGGUCGGAUGGGGGCACGUCGCUGGUGGCCUCGUGCAUGGGGGCGGCCGACGAACUGCCGAUGCCCUGGUGGUGGGCGCUGCCGCCGCACAUGACAGGCCGCGGUGGCGAUCGGUGGGUUCGGGGUAGGGGGCCGUGGGCCAGGACUUGGAGCUGCCAGAGAGCACAGGGCACCCGUCCGUCCGGUCGAUGUUCGACGGUUCAGAUGUGGAGGUGUCGGGGAAAUUAGAGCGAGCUGGGUUUCCAAAUGCUGCCUGAUUACUGUUUCGCAAUUGUGUUUUUUUGGUGCAGUGAUCAUUGCAGUUGCAGAUGAAGAUUAUUGUGCGGAUGCUCGGCACUGUUUAGCACAAGUAGCAUGCAGACCCACUAGCAUUCAAGAACGAAGACGAUGGCACGCAGCUCGACCGGUCAACAAUGUACGUUCUCCCCGGCGGUACGUGCAGACGCACGGCGGCAAGGUUCCCUCUCCCUCCCCUCGGCCCCCCUUCAACAGAAGACUCGAGCAGCAUUUCAACUCACUCCCUACCCUCCUUGAUCGGACCACCUCAAACAAGCUACUAGCUAAGCUAACAGUGAAAGAGGCCAAGCACACCACGUAGGCAAGGCACGGCAGCAUGUCCUCCGCGCCUGCUGCUGCCAGCAGUGAGUCCGUCCGUGUCCCGCAGCCGUUAUCCCGAGCGAGCGAGCACGCGGUCCCGCGACCAAGCCGCUCUGACGCCGGAUCGGGGGGCGGAAGCCGGAAGACAUGUCGUUUGCGAACAAACGCCGGAUCUAUCGAUCGGGAUGCCGACCGGGGCACGGUUUGUGUCAGGUUGACACCGGCGCGGGCGAGCUGGCCUCGGCUGUCACAGAGGGGGGCUAGUUAAUGGCGAGUUAUCGCCGCUGACAGCACGCACGCCGCCGGUGUCGCUCGUGCGUGGCCCGUGGAAAGGAUUGAUGCGAUGCCGAGCCGCGCUGUCCCCGCCUCCUCCUCCCCGGUGCUGCUGCUGCCGCCUGCGAGCGCAAUGUGAUCGGGUUAAUGUUGCUGUCCUGUGGCCGCCUGCCGGUGCUGUGGGGGUGGGUUACGUUACGGCCGGGGACGGACGACGGGGGCGAGCGUGACCACGCCAAAAUUAAAUUGGGCCGGAGCCACGGUGACUGAUUGGACUGCAGAACGAACGAGCGGUGCGUGCGUGCGUGGUGGUGCAGUGCCACCAGAUCCGGUUCCCGUGAAGAGGCCCGGAUGUCAGGGGAGGUGAAAAAUUGGGGUGCCUGUGAUGUAGCGGUGGUACAGUGGUAAUUCGGUGCUUUUUCGUGGGGGCGGGAUUGCACGACGGACAAGGCUAGCGGCAGCUGCACGUCGGGUCGUCAGCAUGUGUUAGUGAGCAUGACCGGACACUGUUCCCACUCACGGCCCCCAGCAUCACUAAUGUUUCCUUGGGUCGUGCAUGGUGGCCUGGUGGGCGACGGGAAGAAGAGCCUAGGCGAAGGACGACGGACGGUUUCACCAUCAUUUCCCUGGGGGAGAGAGAGGAAGUGAACGGUGGCGAGGUUAGCUAGUGUAGGCCGUAUUCCGUAAGAUGGGCUCUGUUGAUUAUCAUAUGGGCCGUGGGCCAGGUUCGAAAUAUACACGACAAACUGAAUCCGUAUUUGGGCCCAAAUAUACACCCGGCCCAUCGAACGAGCUGCUUCAUCGCGGUCCAGAGUCCAGUACGCCCUUUUUCGGCUUUGUCUUGUACUAUAUAAACCUAGGACUGGGUGGGCUACAUUCACCCAAGUAUGGGCUUCUCAUUUCUUGAGCGUGGGCUCGUACGAGGCCGUAAGGCGGAGCCCCCCGACAAAAGCUUGCCGGGGAAAGAUCAAUUCGAGCCGGGGGAGAGCGGAUGCGCAUGCAUCGCCAGUUCAUCUGUAUAAAUAAAACCCCAGGGGCCACGAAUCCAUCAAACACAUUCGUCAUUCGAUAACAACCGCUCGAUGGCGCGCAAACCCAGCCUGCGGUGAAAAACAGUCACCGUGUAUCAAGAACCCGUCGUGGAUCUGAUAAGAGUCCGCGCGCGGCGGAGUUAGCAAAAAUGUCUGGGUCCAGCCGGGACGACGAAACCAUAGAAGCCACGGCUGUUCUUGUCGUGGCCAGCUGACCCAUGUGCCCUGCAUGCACGCAUGACUGUGACCCAGCAUCUAGCAGCAUUCUCUAGCUCCAGCCAGAUCGAUGGACCCGUGUGUUCUGCGACGCGUCGCGGUUUACACCAGCGGGUUGCAGUUGCAGAGACUUGCAGCAGGCCAGCAGCGCGAGGUUAUAAUGUGAGCGAUAUAAGUGUGCGGUGAACGUGGAUCGACCACGAUUGCUGGCCGUACGUUCGUUGUUUGGACGUCUCCCCUGUGUCUGUGUGCCUUCUUCAUAUAGCCUGUGUCGGUUCAGUCACUCGCGAUUAAGCGUGCACAUCGAUCAAUGCAGAAGAUGAUAUAUAGAGUGUGAUGAGGAGUGGCGCUGCUGUGACGGAUUUAGAAAAAAAAAUUCCCCGGUCAGGCAGGGAAUAAAACCACGAGAUGGAACAGUACUUUGCACGACAGCAAAUCAGUUUGGUUUCAGGCUUUCAGCGUAUAUGCUUGUGAAAUCAGAUGCAGAACCCCAAGGACGACUGCACCAAACCAAACAAAAUCUAAGACGACGCAUCGUCCCCGAUCGACCAAGAGAUUCAAGGGACAGUAGUCGGCAUCAAGUUAUAAUAAUGGAGAGCACGGGCACGUACAGCGCACAGACGGCUACCGUCUUUAUACCGUCUACGCAAGCAAAUCGAGCUGAUGUGAACAGUGUUUAAUGAAGAGGAAGAAGAGAGCCGUCGUCUCGUGAGACGACGGUCGGGGCUCGUGCUCCGAGAAGCAACAGACGGGUCGUCGCGCGUUGUACGCGUCGACUUCACCUGACGACGGCGAGGCAAGAUCUGCUGCGGCUAUACUUCUUUUGGUAUGGAAAAAUCAGUAAUGGAGUACCUUCUCUCAACAUGCGCGUGGUGGCCGUCGGUCACCGGCUCCGUGCCACCAGCCAGCCGCAUGCGCUGGCCGGUGCCGAGCCGCAGCGCGGAGUCGGUCCGCACCGCCCGUCGGACCCCGCGCCACGCCGGCCAAGCGGAGCUGCGCAGGCAAACGGACGUUGCGCCGGCCAAGCGAAGUCUUGCUGUUGGGCUGCUGGCCGCCUCGCCCAGAUCGAAACGGGAGAGAGAACGAGAGUCAACGGGAGAGACGGGACAGAACAGGAGGGUCAUGGACUCUUUGAGAAAUAU